rnacentral:rRNA from 1 species
CCUACGGGGUGCAGCAGUGGGGAUAUUGCACAAUGGGGGGAACCCUGAUGCAGCGACGCCGCGUGGGUGAAGAAGCGCCUCGGCGCGUAAAGCCCUGUCAGCAGGGAAGAAAAUGACGGUACCUGAAGCAGACGCCCCGGCUAACUACGUGCCAUCAGCCGCGGUACUACGGAGGGGGCAAGCGUUAUCCGGAUUUACUGGGUGUAAAGGGGGCGCAGACGGCGAUGCAGGCCAGGAGUGAAAGCCCGGGGCCCAACCCCGGGACUGCUCUUGGAACUGCGUGGCUGGAGUGCAGGAGGGGCAGGCGGAAUUCCUGGUGUAGCGGUGAAAUGCGUAGAUAGCAGGAGGAACACCGGUGGCGAAGGCGGCCUGCUGGACUGCAACUGACGUUGAGGCCCGAAAGCGUGGGGAGUAAACAGGAUUAGAUACCCGAGUAGUC